rnacentral:rRNA from 1 species
ACGGAAGGCAGCAGUGGGGAAUAUUGGGCAAUGGGCGAAAGCCUGACCCAGCAACGCCGCGUGAAGGAAGAAGGUCUUCGGAUUGUAAACUUCUUUUAUGAGGGACGAAGGACGUGACGGUACCUCAUGAAUAAGCCACGGCUAACUACGUGCCAGCAGCCGCGGUAAUACGUAUGGAGCAAGCGUUAUCCGGAUUUACUGGGUGUAAAGGGAGCGUAGACGGCCUAGCAAGUCUGAAGUGAAAGCCCGGGGCUCAACCCCGGAACUGCUUUGGAAACUGUUAAGCUAGAGUACAGGAGAGGUAAGCGGAAUUCCUAGUGUAGCGGUGAAAUGCGUAGAUAUUAGGAGGAACACCAGUGGCGAAGGCGGCUUACUGGACUGUAACUGACGUUGAGGCUCGAAAGCGUGGGGAGCAAACAGGAUUAGAUACCCUGGUA